rnacentral:lncRNA from 1 species
CAAUUCAGGCUUCAGCCACAACAGCAAGGAUCUAUAUUCUUCUUUCAGUGUUAUUGAUCUGACAUUAACUAUUUCAACAUUCUCACUGGGCGUUCCAAUAUUGCCUCGAGGGCAUUUGCUACGAUAGGGGUUGUAUCACCAUGGCUCCUAUCUGUCAUAAAGGAUCUCAACAACCUUGUUCAGCCUUAACAUAUAUACAUACAAUCAUCUGUAUAGUAAUAAUUUCCAAAACACUAGUCAUCUAUUUGUGUGAACUCUAGGGCAUUGGCAUCGGGAUCACGAGUAAAAAUCGCUGGUCUUCCAGAACGGCUAAGUGUGUAGGAAAUUCCUAAAAACACAAUAGAAAAAGGACAGAUAAAAUUCAUAAAUCGGACAAUCUCCAUCGGAAAAACAAAACCAAAAACUAAAAUGCUGCAAAUCAUGUGUAAAAUUGAUAGUAGAUGAACUAAUAUCAAAUAACAAUAGAUAAGUUAGCUGUUGGCUAAUAACGAAUAAACUAUCCGAUUGAAUCUGAAAUAUUUAGUAAAAUUACACGUUGAUCUAAUUGAUAAGUGUAAAUACACAAAAAAUAUAUCUUUGAUUUAAUAUUCAAAAUUGCUCUACUUUUUUCUUAUG